UCCGAGGCCGAACGCAGCUUUUCAGAUCUGAACUGUCACGUGGUAACUUCUCACUGAGCCUGUCGAACGUCUCAGCAGCUGACGUAGUCUGGUACGACUGCCGUUUUAGUAGAAGUGGGGAGGAGAGCAGCACAUUUCUGUGUCAUCAGUGCCUUCAGAUUGCAGAGAGUUAUUCUGUCCCAGUAGUUUAUGGACAAUCAGCACCGAUGUUGAAGAAUAAAGAAGCCUAUUUCACAUGCGUGUCUACUGGGGGAUUUCCUGCUCCAAAGGUCCAGUGGUCUGUGAAUAAACAGCCAGUUCAGGACUCAAGACGAGUAGACACAAGACUGAGCCGAGACAGCAGGGGUCUGUACAGUGUCACCAGCAUCCUGACUGUGAUUGUGACAGGAGACAUGUUUGUGUCCUGCACUGUUGAGAAUGAGAGGCUGACAGAGAAGAGGACAUCGGCUGAAAUUGAAUGUAAG